GAUGAACGCUGGCGGCGUGCCUAAUACAUGCAAGUCGAGCGAACAGACGAGGAGCUUGCUCCUCUGACGUUAGCGGCGGACGGGUGAUUAACACGUGGAUAACCUACCUAUAAGACUGGGAUAACUUCGGGAAACCGGAUCUAAUACCGGAUAAUAUAUUGAACCGCAUGGUUCAAUAGUGAAAGACGGUUUUGCUGUCACUUAUAGAUGGAUCCGCGCCGGAUUAGGUAGUUGGUAAGGUAACGGCUUACCAAGGCAACGAUGCGUAGCCGACCUGAGAGGGUGAUCGGCCACACUGGAACUGAGACACGGUCCAGACUCCUACGGGAGGCAGCAGUAGGGAAUCUUCCGCAAUGGGCGCAAGCCUGACGCAGCAAUGCCGCGUGAGUGAUGAAGGUCUUCGGAUCGUAAACCUCUGUUAUUAGGAAAGAAAAAAUGUGUAAGAAAAUAUGCACGUCUUGACGGUACCUAAACAGAAAGCAACGGCUAACUACGUG
rnacentral:rRNA from 1 species